rnacentral:rRNA from 1 species
UACGAAGGGUGCAAGCGUUAAUCGGAAUUACUGGGCGUAAAGCGUGCGUAGGCGGUUUCUUAAGUCUGCUGUGAAAUCCCCGGGCUCAACCUGGGAAUGGCAGUGGAUACUGGGAGGCUAGAGUGUGUCAGAGGAUGGUGGAAUUCCCGGUGUAGCGGUGAAAUGCGUAGAGAUCGGGAGGAACACCGGUGGCGAAGGCGGCAUCCUGGACCGACAUUGACGCUGAGGAGCGAAAGCUAGGGGAGCAAACGGG